GAGAGAGGAGGCGCUGAGGAGAGAGGAGAUCAAAAGAGGAGAAGAGGAAGAAAAGGAAGAGUGCAGCACGCUGGUGUCUCCGUCCACAGAUGACCUGGACGUGUCUCACCCUUUUCACCUGUCUCACCUGUCUCUCAUUGGUUGGCGUGACGACCGUCUGCUCAGCAGCUCAGCCGCUGACCUCAGCCUGCUGCCGUACACUACCCACAAUGCCUCUGUGAGUCCAGGCAGGCCUCCCCGCCGCUCCUCCUCCCCCUCCCCCCCCCCCCCCCUCCCUCCCUCUGGUCUACAGCAUCCUGGUGGAGGACAAACAGCCUCGUUACAGCCUGAGGAGCCGAAGGUCAGAGACUCGCUGAAGGAAACAAACGUUUCUUCAACGUUCAUUCAUUUUAAACGCUUUUUUUUAAUGAAUGUCAAUAA